rnacentral:rRNA from 1 species
CUAUUUAGGUAGCGCCUCGUGAAUUCAUCUCCGGGGGUAGAGCACUGUUUCGGCAAGGGGGUCAUCCCGACUUACCAACCCGAUGCAAACUGCGAAUACCGGAGAAUGUUAUCACGGGAGACACACGGCGGGUGCUAACGUCCGUCGUGAAGAGGGAAACAACCCAGACCGCCAGCUAAGGUCCCAAAGUCAUGGUUAAGUGGGAAACGAUGUGGGAAGGCCCAGACAGCCAGGAUGUUGGCUUAGAAGCAGCCAUCAUUUAAAGAAAGCGUAAUAGCUCACUGGUCGAGUCGGCCUGCGCGGAAGAUGUAACGGGGCUAAACCAUGCACCGAAGCUGCGGCAGCGACGCUUAUGCGUUGUUGGGUAGGGGAGCGUUCUGUAAGCCUGUGAAGGUGUGCUGUGAGGCAUGCUGGAGGUAUCAGAAGUGCGAAUGCUGACAUAAGUAACGAUAAAGCGGGUGAAAAGCCCGCUCGCCGGAAGACCAAGGGUUCCUGUCCAACGUUAAUCGGGGCAGGGUGAGUCGACCCCUAAGGCGAGGCCGAAAGGCGUAGUCGAUGGGAAACAGGUUAAUAUUCCUGUACUUGGUGUUACUGCGAAGGGGGGACGGAGAAGGCUAUGUUGGCCGGGCGACGGUUGUCCCGGUUUAAGCGUGUAGGCUGGUUUUCCAGGCAAAUCCGGAAAAUCAAGGCUGAGGCGUGAUGACGAGGCACUACGGUGCUGAAGCAACAAAUGCCCUGCUUCCAGGAAAAGCCUCUAAGCAUCAGGUAACAUCAAAUCGUACCCCAAACCGACACAGGUGGUCAGGUAGAGAAUACCAAGGCGCUUGAGAGAACUCGGGUGAAGGAACUAGGCAAAAUGGUGCCGUAACUUCGGGAGAAGGCACGCUGAUAUGUAGGUGAAGUCCCUCGCGGAUGGAGCUGAAAUCAGUCGAAGAUACCAGCUGGCUGCAACUGUUUAUUAAAAACACAGCACUGUGCAAACACGAAAGUGGACGUAUACGGUGUGACGCCUGCCCGGUGCCGGAAGGUUAAUUGAUGGGGUCAGCGCAAGCGAAGCUCUUGAUCGAAGCCCCGGUAAACGGCGGCCGUAACUAUAACGGUCCUAAGGUAGCGAAAUUCCUUGUCGGGUAAGUUCCGACCUGCACGAAUGGCGUAAUGAUGGCCAGGCUGUCUCCACCCGAGACUCAGUGAAAUUGAACUCGCUGUGAAGAUGCAGUGUACCCGCGGCAAGACGGAAAGACCCCGUGAACCUUUACUAUAGCUUGACACUGAACAUUGAGCCUUGAUGUGUAGGAUAGGUGGGAGGCUUAGAAGUGUGGACGCCAGUCUGCAUGGAGCCGACCUUGAAAUACCACCCUUUAAUGUUUGAUGUUCUAACGUUGACCCGUAAUCCGGGUUGCGGACAGUGUCUGGUGGGUAGUUUGACUGGGGCGGUCUCCUCCUAAAGAGUAACGGAGGAGCACGAAGGUUGGCUAAUCCUGGUCGGACAUCAGGAGGUUAGUGCAAUGGCAUAAGCCAGCUUGACUGCGAGCGUGACGGCGCGAGCAGGUGCGAAAGCAGGUCAUAGUGAUCCGGUGGUUCUGAAUGGAAGGGCCAUCGCUCAACGGAUAAAAGGUACUCCGGGGAUAACAGGCUGAUACCGCCCAAGAGUUCAUAUCGACGGCGGUGUUUGGCACCUCGAUGUCGGCUCAUCACAUCCUGGGGCUGAAGUAGGUCCCAAGGGUAUGGCUGUUCGCCAUUUAAAGUGGUACGCGAGCUGGGUUUAGAACGUCGUGAGACAGUUCGGUCCCUAUCUGCCGUGGGCGCUGGAGAACUGAGGGGGGCUGCUCCUAGUACGAGAGGACCGGAGUGGACGCAUCACUGGUGUUCGGGUUGUCAUGCCAAUGGCACUGCCCGGUAGCUAAAUGCGGAAGAGAUAAGUGCUGAAAGCAUCUAAGCACGAAACUUGCC